AUUGAACGCUGGCGGCAGGCUUAACACAUGCAAGUCGAGCGGGGGAAGGUAGCUUGCUACUGGACCUAGCGGCGGACGGGUGAGUAAUGCUUAGGAAUCUGCCUAUUAGUGGGGGACAACAUCUCGAAAGGGAUGCUAAUACCGCAUACGUCCUACGGGAGAAAGCAGGGGAUCUUCGGACCUUGCGCUAAUAGAUGAGCCUAAGUCGGAUUAGCUAGUUGGUGGGGUAAAGGCCUACCAAGGCGACGAUCUGUAGGGGGUCGGGGAGGAUGAUCCGCGACACGGGGACUGAGACACGGCCCAGACUCCUACGGGAGGCAGCAGUGGGGAAUAUUGGACAAUGGGGGGAACCCUGAUCCAGCCAUGCCGCGUGUGUGAAGAAGGCCUUAUGGUUGUAAAGCACUUUAAGCGAGGAGGAGGCUACUCUAGUUAAUACCUAGGGAUAGUGGACGUUACUCGCAGAAUAAGCACCGGCUAACUCUGUGCCAGCCGCCGCCGUAA
rnacentral:rRNA from 1 species